AUUGAACGCUGGCGGCAUGCCUUACACAUGCAAGUCGAACGGCAGCACGGGUGCUUGCACCUGGUGGCGAGUGGCGAACGGGUGAGUAAUACAUCGGAACAUGUCCUGUAGUGGGGGAUAGCCCGGCGAAAGCCGGAUUAAUACCGCAUACGAUCUACGGAUGAAAUCGGGGGACCUUCGGGCCUCGCGCUGUAGGGUUGGCCGAUGGCUGAUUAGCUAGUUGGUCGGUGAAAGGCCUACCAAGGCGACGAUCAGUAGCUGGUCUGAGAGGACGACCAGCCACACUGGGACUGAGACACGGCCCAGACUCCUACGGGAGGCAGCAGUGGGGAAUUUUGGACAAUGGGCGAAAGCCUGAUCCAGCAAUGCCGCGUGUGUGAAGAAGGCCUUCGGGUUGUAAAGCACUUUUGUCCGGAAAGAAAUCCUUGGCCCUAAUACGGUCGGGGGAUGACGGUACCGGAAGAAUAAGCACCGGCUAACUACGUG
rnacentral:rRNA from 1 species